GCGGGAAUAGCUCAAUUGGUAGAGUGACAGCCUUCCAAGCUGUAGGUUGCGGGUUCGAAACCCGUUUCCCGCU
rnacentral:tRNA from 1 species